UUUGCAGCUGCUCAUAUUAUUGACAAAUGAGAGUAUUAAAACAUGCAUGCUGGCUGAUCAUUCUGAUCAAGUCAACAAGCUUCACAACUUACUCAAUGAGGUCAUCCGUGAGAACUUCACUGAUUUUACGAGGACAGGAGCUACUUCUUUGCUGAACUGCAUCACGGUUUCAACUGCUGAGGUUUUCCUCAAGCUUUUGCAUUGUUUGGAAUGUGAAAGGCACGGCCAAGACACACUUUGGGGUUCCCACUGCAUUGUUACACCUCCCCCUUCACUUCAGGGCCAGGUAACACGAAGUAGGACGCCAUGAGGCGAAGGCCGUUGGGUAACCGCCCUUUGCUCUCGCGCUGCGCGUCUCCCUGCCAUGAACCGCCGGCAACCGUGCUGGGAGCGGUUGAAUGCCGCCGGCCUCGCGCUGGAACCCCACCCGCCUCAAGGCUCGCGCGCAGGCGCACGGGGCAGGCCAGGAGCCCGCCCUGGGAGGGCCCAGGUGGAGAUGGGGAAAUGGAGGGAGGCGGCACCUGGGCGCUUCCUGGGGCCAGACAACGCCUCCUCAUUGGAAACUCCAUGACCGUGCCUCUGAGAAACCAGCGCGUCCCCAACGACCUCUCCUAAUUUUCGGAUUCCUAUCAUCUAUCUCCACGUGAUAACACUGAAGAGCCUUCACGUAUGUGCAGGCCCAGGGCCUCAAGUGCAGAGACUGAGAGCUCUGCAGGACACAGCAUGGAGCCGCCAUUCCUCUGCUGGGUGGAAGAGCAUGUGUCCUCUGAACAGGGGAUCCAAGCCCUGAGAUGUUCUUUCUCAGCAGUCAGUGCGGCCCAGGACUUUCUGUGGGGAUGCUCAGAGAGCAGGGGCCGGAGGACUUUUAGCCACCACCUCCCAUGGCCAGUCUUCACAAAUUACCUUUGGCUAAUUUGAUUGUCUCUCCUCCUGGGGUCUAGGACUUCAAACAUGCACAGAUGCGAUUGCAGAAUUAAGACAAGACAAUGUUCCACAGUAUAUUUUUUGUAUCACUGGCUCAGAAAAAGACUCAUUCAAAUCCUGUAUCAAAGCCAUGUGUGAGAAUCUUGAGAAAGCAUCGGUUGACUGACUUGACAAGGGAGGAAGCAACCAAUAAUUCUGCUCUUCUUCAGUAUCUGAGUAUGACAUUUUGCUUCAACAUCCCUCUUAGAUGAAGUUAGUGAUUGAAAAUCAUUUAAGUUUGCCCCGUGAUAAAAGAUCAAGUCCUCAGAAAGAUCUCCAAAGCGUUUACAGUUUGUUUGGUUUUGUUUUGUUUUGGUAAGUUUACCAUGAUUUUGCUUGAAUUGCUCUCUGUUGAUCUUCUCAGCUACGAUUGAGGUAGAGUUGCACAGCAGAAGAGGGCUGCAUGUAAGAAGGCAGUUCUGUCUCAGAGGACAAAAGGCCUGAGAGCACCCAGACAGGCAGGCACUGCGUGGAGGUCACUCCCCUCCCAGUGGCCACUGUGGAGACAUUUCAUAGAAAUGCUUGCUGGACCAUUCAGGUUUAGAGUUGGGACAAAACCGAGAACUCAUGAGGAUAUUGGACGGGAGUUAGGAAAUGACUUUCUCACACAACUGGGGCAAGGAGGGGAGAACCCUGGGCUUGAGACUUGCAAUCCGCCACCUACCCCUGCAGUGUGGCCCCUGUUACAUUUUCCUGCAACUCUGCCUUCUUGAGUCCAAAUGUCUUCGAAAGGGGCAAAUGCUUUGUAAGUGCCAACAGGAUGUGCUUCAGUGAAUGUUCGCAGUGUGCACCGGUCUGGCUGAAGGCCUCUUCCCUUCCCCGACACCCUCCCAUCAUGCAAAAUUACCCUGCCCAGCAGGGAGUGACGUGUGUGUCUCAGAAGAUUUUGCUGCUGUGCUCUGCGUACUCACUCCUUAUCUCCUUUGACCAGUUUCCUAACACUCCCCAUGUUCGCAACAGAGAACAUGAGUGCUCUUUCCUGUCAUUUUGACACUAAUAAACGGACAGUGAUUCUCAGUGUGGAAAUGAGAAUGAAGUUUUUUUUAAAGACAGGCUACAAUAAUUCCCACGCAGAGAACCACAUACGAUGACACUGGAUUCCAAACAGCAAGAAUGUAUGGUGAAGAUGAGGCCAACAGUGAGCUGAGAGAGGCCAGCCAGGGUGUGUUUCAGUGAAGAUGAGAAACAAUCAGAUAACACCUGUUUCCUCCAGGAAAGAAAAUGUGGUGGCCAGGGAAAAGAGAUGGGAGGAAGGCUGGUCAUUGCCUAUUCCACUGUGCACAUUUGAAUUUGGAGCCAUGAAAAGUAUUGCUUGGUUAAAUUAAAAUCAUUCAAAAGAUAAAAAAUAAACAUUUAACACCAUCACAAUAUGCUGGGAAACAAAAUGAAAGGAUUUCUGGUCUCAGUGCUGUAGGUCGUGUAGCCACUCUUUCCUGGACUGAGGCUUUCCAGCAAAGGGGCUGGGAAGUAAGGCUGGCCUGCUGGUGUGGACAGAGAUUCCAGCAACACACAUGACCUGGGGGCACAAGGAUUGCUUCCUAAACAAUGAUGAGCACACAGCCACCUAAUAGCCUGGAUCGGCUGAGACCAUCCUGAUUUCAAACACCCAGUCCCCUUGCCUUCCUAAGAACCCCUGUAUUUCUCAGACUGAAAACAUGUUUUGAAUUUUGUUCACGAAGUGCAGCCCCUGUUGAAAUUCAUCAAGAAUGGGAAAGAGCCAAAAUGGGAAGGAGCAUGGGUUGAUUGGCACAAAAGUAGGUCUGUCGAUAAAGAAUGGAAGUAAAGGGGACAUCAGGUAGAAGCUUUUGCUGUGAGUCAGAAGGACAAUUUAAAAGUUGCCUAAAGAGGCACACACCAUCUCUGUUGCUGCCUUCCAGUUGGAAAGGAAACUCAGGUUCUUGCCUAAUGGCCGAAGCCCUUCACAGAAUGUCCCCCACCCCUACCAGCUGCCCACUGCCCCUCCCCCUCUGCAGAAUGUCUGGGGUCCUAUGUUCCAAAUCUGUUUACUUUCAAAUUUUACCUGCUCCAGUUGGACUCAGGAGCAUCUGCUGAGCCAGGUCACUCUCUGGGUCUUACCCUUGACUUUUCUCAUUGCGGAAACUGCCAGACAGCGGUUGUCAGUGCCCAGCCUGAGGGGAUGGCUUCAAAUGGAGGUCUUCAGACCCACUUCCUCUUGUCUGCUAGCUCAUGGCCUGUCCUCUGCACUUUGUGUUACUGUGGAGAUGAAGAAUUUGCUCCUGUUCCAUUUAUACUACCUCAUGAACAGGGGACAGGUGGAUUCUUGCUGGUUCUCAGUGGAAGGGCCCCUCACCUGUUGCUGAGCACGCUGAGGACCACCAAGCCGCUGAGAGACUCAUCCCUGACCCAUGGCUUGGGAGAUGCCUGUGAGGCUGACAGGGUCUGCCAGGGACACCUGACGGAGACCCUCAGGCAGCGAAGGCUUGGCUAUUACUUCUUGGGAGACAGGGGUCAGGGAGUCUUGGUGACCGGGGGGGCCAGGCUCUCUAGUGGAGCGACUCUCUGUGGAGGAACAGAACAUCUGAUGCACACUCAGGGACACUUGCAAGCUCAUACCCAGUCUGUGUUCACGGCUCUGCCCUUCACCACACCUGCUCCUGCCCCAGCACACGGGCUGCCCCUUGUGACUGCAGGGGUUCCUCCAGGCAGCCCUCUGGUGCUGUCUGCCUUCCCCAGCACACCUCUGGUGGCAGGACAGGAUGGCCGCGGCCUGAGUGGGGCUGGGGCUUCCAACGUCUUUGUCCAGAUGAGGACAGAGGUGGGGCCUGUGAAGGCCCCUGAGGCACAGACCUUGGUCCUAACUCAGGCCCCCCUCAUCUGGCAGGCGCCCUCUGCAGAGGUGUCGCGUGUCCACCUCCCCUACUCCUGGCAGCUGCUCCUGUGGUGCCUGUUAUGGCUGCCCAGGUGGUUGGAGGCACCCAGGCCUGUGAGGGAGGCUGGUCCCAGGGCCUUCCUCUUCCACCACCACCACCACCACCGGCUGCCCAGUUGCUCCCCAUCGUGUCCCAAGGGAAUGCUGGGCCAUGGCCACAGGGGGCUCGUGGAGAGGGCAGCCUGGCUUCCUCCCAGGCCAAGGCCCCACCAGGCGACUCCUGUAACCCCAAGAGUGUCUAUGAGAACUUCCGACUCUGGCAGCACUACAAGCCCCUGGUCCCGAAGGCACCUUCCCCAGAGUCCUGACACCCGAAGGGCUUUCCUCUUCCUCAUGUGA